UACGUAGGGGGCAAGCGUUGUCCGGAAUUAUUGGGCGUAAAGAGCGCGUAGGCGGGUCUUUAAGUCAGGGGUGAAAUCCUGGAGCUCAACUCCAGAACUGCCUUUGAUACUGAGGAUCUUGAGUUCGGGAGAGGUGAGUGGAACUGCGAGUGUAGAGGUGAAAUUCGUAGAUAUUCGCAAGAACACCAGUGGCGAAGGCGGCUCACUGGCCCGAUACUGACGCUGAGGCACGAAAGCGUGGGGAGCAAACAGG
rnacentral:rRNA from 1 species